rnacentral:rRNA from 1 species
AACGAACGCUGGCGGCAUGCCUAACACAUGCAAGUCGAACGAGACCUUCGGGUCUAGUGGCGCACGGGUGCGUAACGCGUGGGAACCUGCCCUUAGGUUCGGAAUAACUCCCCGAAAGGGGUGCUAAUACCGGAUAAUGUCUUCGGACCAAAGAUUUAUCGCCUUUGGAUGGGCCCGCGUGGGAUUAGCUAGUUGGUAGGGUAAAAGCCUACCAAGGCGACGAUCCAUAGCUGGUCUGAGAGAAUGAUCAGCCACACUGGGACUGAGACACGGCCCAGACUCCUACGGGAGGCAGCAGUGGGGAAUAGUGGACAAUGGGCGAAAGCCUGAUCCAGCAAGGCCGCGUGAGUGAUGAAGGCCUUAGGGUUGUAAAGCUCUUUUAACCGGGAUGAUAAUGACAGUACCGGGAGAAUAAGCUCCGGCUAACUCCGUG